AUAGUACUUCCUCCGUCCGAAAAUACUUGUCGAAGGAAUGAAUAUAUUUAGACGUAUUUUAGUUUUAGAUGCAUCCAUUUAUAUCCAUUUUCAUGACAAGUAUUUUCGGACGGAAGGAGUAUAUA
rfam:Triticum aestivum genome assembly, contig: Triticum_aestivum_CS42_TGACv1_scaffold_592799_7BS